GAUGAACGCUGGCGGCGUGCUUAACACAUGCAAGUCGAGCGAAGCAUUUUAAAGGAAGUUUUCGGAUGGAAUUUAAAAUGACUGAGCGGCGGACGGGUGAGUAACGCGUGGGUAACCUGCCUCAUACAGGGGGAUAAUAGUUAGAAAUGACUGCUAAUACCGCAUAAGCGCACAGUGCUGCAUCGCACAGUGUGAAAAACUCCGGUGGUAUGAGAUGGACCCGCGUCUGAUUAGGUAGUUGGUGAGGUAACGGCCCACCAAGCCGACGAUCAGUAGCCGACCUGAGAGGGUGACCGGCCACAUUGGGACUGAGACACGGCCCAAACUCCUACGGGAGGCAGCAGUGGGGAAUAUUGGACAAUGGGGGAAACCCUGAUCCAGCGACGCCGCGUGAGUGAAGAAGUGUUUCGGCAUGUAAAGCUCUAUCAGCAGGGAAGAAAAUGACGGUACCUGACUAAGAAGCCCCGGCUAACUACGUGCCAGCAGCCGCCGUAA
rnacentral:rRNA from 1 species